rnacentral:rRNA from 1 species
AGAGUUUGAUCCUGGCUCAGAUUGAACGCUGGCGGCAUGCUUUACACAUGCAAGUCGAGCGGCAGCGCGGGGGCAACCCUGGCGGCGAGCGGCGGACGGGUGAGUAAUGCAUCGGAACGUAUCCCGUAGUGGGGGACAACCCAGCGAAAGCUGGGCUAAUACCGCAUAUGCUCUACGGAGGAAAGCAGGGGACUCGCAAGAGCCUUGUACUAUGGGAGCGGCCGAUGUCCGAUUAGCUAGUUGGUGGGGUAAAGGCUUACCAAGGCGACGAUCGGUAGCUGGUCUGAGAGGAUGAUCAGCCACACUGGGACUGAGACACGGCCCAGACUCCUACGGGAGGCAGCAGUGGGAAUUUGGACAAUGGGGGCAACCCUGAUCCAGCCCAUGCCGCGUGCGGGAAGAAGGCCUUCGGGUUGUAAACCGCUUUUGGUCGGGAAGAAAAGGUUCUCCCUAAUACGGAGGACUGUUGACGGUACCGGCAGAAUAAGCACCGGCUAACUACGUG